ACAGCAGCCGCCGCGGUAAUACGAAGGGUGCAAGCGUUAAUCGGAAUUACUGGGCGUAAAGCGUGCAUAGGCGGUUUGUUAAGUCUGUUGUGAAAUCCCCGGGCUCAACCUGGGAAUGGCAAUGGAUACUGGCAAGCUAGAGUGUGUCAGAGGAUGGUGGAAUUCCCGGUGUAGCGGUGAAAUGCGUAGAGAUCGGGAGGAACAUCAGUGGCGAAGGCGGCCAUCUGGGACAACACUGACGCUGAGGCACGAAAGCGUGGGGAGCAAACAGGAUUAGAUACCCGAGUAGUCCCUGUCUCUUAUAC
rnacentral:rRNA from 1 species